UACGGAGGGGGCUAGCGUUAUUCGGAAUUACUGGGCGUAAAGCGCGCGUAGGCGGCUUAUCAAGUUGAGGGUGAAAUCCCGGGGCCUAACCCCGGAACUGCCUUCAAAACUGGUAGGCUUUGAGUUCGGGAGAGGUGAGUGGAAUUUCUAGUGUAGAGGUGGAAUUCAUAGAUAUUAGAAGGAACACCAGUGGCGAAGGCGGCUCACUGGCCCGUAACUGACGCUGAGGCGCGAUAGCGUGGGGAUCAAACAGG
rnacentral:misc_RNA from 1 species